AUUGAACGCUGGCGGCAGGCCUAACACAUGCAAGUCGAGCGGAUGAAGGGAGCUUGCUCCUGGAUUCAGCGGCGGACGGGUGAGUAAUGCCUAGGAAUCUGCCUGGCAGUGGGGGAUAACGUCCGGACACGGGCGCUAAUACCGCAUACGUCCUGAGGGAGAAAGUGGGGGAUCUUCGGACCUCACGCUAUCAGAUGAGCCUAGGUCGGAUUAGCUAGUUGGUGGGGUAAAGGCCUACCAAGGCGACGAUCCGUAACUGGUCUGAGAGGAUGAUCAGUCACACUGGAACUGAGACACGGUCCAGACUCCUACGGGAGGCAGCAGUGGGGAAUAUUGGACAAUGGGCGAAAGCCUGAUCCAGCCAUGCCGCGUGUGUGAAGAAGGUCUUCGGAUUGUAAAGCACUUUAAGUUGGGAGGAAGGGCAGUAAGUUAAUACCUUGCUGUUUUGACGUUACCAACAGAAUAAGCACCGGCUAACUUCGUG
rnacentral:rRNA from 1 species